UGAGGAGAGAAGGAAGCUCAGGUCUGAAAUAUUUGGAUUAAAUAUGCUUAUGAAAUUUUUAUUUGCAGAAUUAAAUCCAUUUGGCCAGGCUAGAAGUUUGCUCACUUUGUAGAAACUGACUCAAGCUUGUAUACGAAAAGUCCUGGGAAAUGGUAGGAUUCAGCACCUGAGGAGAAAUAUGCCAAUGACAUUGAUAUCUCAGUGUGGUGAAGGAGGAAGGAGGCACUUGUCUUUAACCUUGACAACUGAAGAGGACUUCCUUUGUGCAAAGACAGAGCAAGCAAGUGAGCGAGAGAGCAUGCAGGAGUGAGCAAGCAGCAUCUGUUGAAUGGUGAACCCCAAGA